AUGCCCGAUGGGCCUCCGUCCUGCUCCUCGGUCUGGGCCCAGCGCGGGGCCCUCGCAGGAACCCUUGGCUCCCUCUCCAGACGCUGGGGCCAAAGGGCGGGGGCGUGCCGGGGGCGGGCUGCUCGGGAGGGCCCCUGCCCCUCGGGCACCCACCCACAGAGGCUGAACUGUGCCCUGCGCCGACGUGUCCGGACUCCACACCCCCACCUCGCUGUCCAGCUAAGCCCAGGAAAGCACCUCAUGGGUGAGGUCGCGGCUGGGUCCCCGGCGUGGGGGUGUGGCCAUGGCUCCGGAACCCGUGGCCUCUCCCCAGGAAGGCAGCUUGGACUCCCAAGGGGGCCCAGGGACCCCAAGCCCCGCUGCGACCCGCCUCCCUGCAGGGGAGGCACGGCCUCUGGCUUGAGCCCGGGGGGCCCCCAGGAGAAGCCCCCAGACCAGGAGGGCGAGGGGAGCGCUCAGGCUCAUGGGAGGAGGGGAGGGGGUCCCCAGGAGAUGAAGGAAGGAGGGGACACCCCGGGGGGGAGGACAGCCUCUGACCCCCCGGCCCAGCUUCCAGGGGACUGUCCCCUCUGGCAGCAUCUGACCCCCACCUCUCCUCCUGACCCAGCGCCUCCUGCCUCCCCUUCCAGGCACCAAGGGGCCCCGGGGGACAGGGUGCCCUGUCAGGGGGUCCUGGGCGAGGCCCUCCAAGCUGGUCCCGAGGUAGACACGGGAUGGGCAGUUCUAGCCGCCCUGGGGCCCGCAGCCAAACCCCUGCCUGAGGACAGAGGCCACCCCUUCCUCCCCCGCCGGCUCCCUCCACGGAGCCAGCCUGAGCCAGGACGUGGUUGCCCGGGGCUCCCGGACCCAAGCAGACCGCCCGGUUUGGGUGGGGGGUUCUGGCUUAGGGGCGUUGGGCAUUACCUCCUCAUGAUGAGGUCCUCUUCCCAGUGUAGACGGUGCUCUCGGGGACCGAUAGUUCAGAUCCAAGUAACUGGAUCCAGUGACUCAGAUCUGCUCUGCUCCUUCCGCCGGUUCCUCGGGCUUUAUGGCCCCAACGUGGGCGGAUCUGGACAGAGGUCAGAGACCAGGGAUCCCAGCAGCAGUGGCGGCUGGUGCUCCCCAGCUGGCUCCCCCCUCCCCCUGAGGACCCACCCGAGGUGCUUCGACCCCCACGGGGGACCCGCACCCCCGGGCCCACACCCCCUGGCCGCCACCAGCAGAAUGUCCGGAUGUUGCUUUGCGACCUGGAGGAUUGGAGCUGAAACUGGGCUGACAGGUGGUCCGGAAGCUGGAAAACCGUCCCGACCUCCCACCCCACCCCUUGUGCUCCUGGCACAGGCCUCCUCCUGGAGCGGGUUUGCCCGGAGCCACGGGCAAGGGGUGGGGCUCUCCCCAGUCGGACUGGGCAUCCUUAGGGGGAGCCACGUCGGGGCCCUGGCGUGGACACGGACCCUGGCACAGGCGCCUAGAGAAGGGCGCGCACCUGCGGCCGAGCCUUGGGUGGGAACGGGGCCUCCCCGCAGGGCCCCCCUGCCCCAACUCCAGGGUGCUGCUACAGGGGCCCCACGGUCCUGCGUGCUCCCAGCUUUAUUUAUGAAUAAAUAA
rnacentral:lncRNA from 1 species